rnacentral:tRNA from 1 species
CAUUAGAUGACUGAAAGCAAGUAAUGGUCUCUUAAAUCAUCUUAUAGUAAAUUUAGCAAUUACUUCUAAUGA